UUAAUCUGCAGGCAUGUGUGUGAGAUGUUAUGUGUAGAUAUUUUAUGUCUAUCGGAUACAUAACUACCUCCAGAAAAUAGACUUAUAAUGCUAUACCGAUGACAAAGUUCAUAAAAAGACACUUGCAAACAAUGACAAAACUGUGCCCAUCGAUCUGUCCCACGCUGCCUGUGGUUAGAAAGUGUUGCUUUGCGUGCCUGUUCGCAAAGGAGUCACUAUAUUCGGAUAUGUUAAUUUGGUGCUAUCCUUGCUCUCCCUGCCGCUGCUGGUGUUCCUGGUGGUGGAACAAAUGACUAUUCCCAAAGCAGAGCAGUCUACUGCUAAGCCUCUGGAGGAGACGCAUGAUCACCUGGAUCCACUGAUCCAUUUAUCCUUAACCAUAGCCUUCAUCACUGUAGACGUCACAAUGACUAUUGUGUUGCUGGUCGGAGCACAUAAGAAAAAGAAGUCACUGCUCAAGAUAUACUUGUACUUCGGGAUUGUGUUCCAACUGCUGACCCUGUGUGUGGACCUGGCCUACUUCGACUACGUAGAAUACAUAGAAAAUACUGUCUACUUCUUCUUCUUAGCAUUGAACGUGUACCUCCUAUUUCUGGUGAAUAGCACCAUCCACGUGAUCGAGGAGAGCUCGGAGGUGCAAUACGUGGUGUACCAGGAGACACGCCAGAGCGCGUAGCAGGCACUCAACUUAAUACCUCAGCUUUGUACAUAAUAGUAAAGACAUUCACAAAUUGA
rnacentral:sRNA from 1 species